rnacentral:rRNA from 1 species
CGGCAGUGGGGGAUAUUCGCACAAUAGGGGGAAACCCUGAUGCAGCGACGCCGCGUGGAGGAAGAAGGUUUUCGGAUUGUAAACUCCUGUCGUACGGGACGAUAAUGACGGUACCGUACAAGAAAGCCACGGCUAACUACCUGCCAGCAGCC